rnacentral:rRNA from 1 species
GCAUAUCAAUAAGCGGAGGAAAAGAAAAUAACAAUGAUUCCCCUAGUAACUGCGAGUGAAGAGGGAUAAGCUCAAAUUUUAAAUCUGUUAGGUUUUACCUAACCGAAUUGUAAUUUGAAGAAGCGUUUUCGCGGGUGUUUGAUGGUCUAAGUCCUUUGGGAUGAGGUAUCAUGGAGGGUGAUAAUCCCGUACGGCCAUCAUUGCUUGUGUACGAUACGCUUUCAAAGAGUCAAGUUGUUUGGGAUUGCAGCUUAAAAUGGGAGGUAAAUUUCUCCUAAGGCUAAAUAUUGGCGAGAGACCGAUAGCGAACAAGUACCGUGAGGGAAAGAUGAAAAGCACUUUGAAAAGAGAGUUAAAUAGUGCGUGAAAUUGUUGAAAGGGAAACGAUUGAAGCCAGUCGUACCGACGGAGAAUCAACCUUUGGAGUGUGAGUCGAGGUAUUCGAGGAGUUUAAAAGCCCUUGUGUGCUUCCGUAUCGUGCUUCUUGGGUGCUUUUCUUCGUAUGGUAGGUUAACAUCAAUUUUGGACGUUACAAAAUGACUGGGGGAAUGUAGCUUCGAUUUUUCGAAGUGUUAUAGCCCUUUGUAGAUGUGACGACCGGGAUUGAGGAUUGCAACGAAUGCUUUCGGGCUAUCCGUCUGACCUCUGGUGGUUGCUUUGGGGUCGAAAGCGUGCUUACGGCUUUAAAGUUGGCUAUCAAAAGGCUAGAACGUGAUUAAAUUCGUUAAGGAUGUUGACGUA